CCAAACUUGGUCAUUUAGAGGAAGUAAAAGUCGUAACAAGGUUUCCGUAGGUGAACCUGCGGAAGGAUCAUUACCGAGUUAGGGUUGUCUCGACAGCCCGACCUCCCAACCCUGUGUCUACCGUACCUUGUCGUUGCUUCGGCGGACCGGUCUCGAAGAGACCGCCGGGGACCCGUGCCCUGGAGAGCGUCCGCCGAUGGCCCAACCACACACAAAACUCUUGUACCGAAAACCUGUCGUCUGAAUAACUUGAUGUAUCAAAUCAAAACACAAAACUUUCAACAACGGAUCUCUUGGUUCUGGCAUCGAUGAAGAACGCAGC
rnacentral:misc_RNA from 1 species